rnacentral:rRNA from 1 species
AGAGCGAACGCUGGCGGCAGGCUUAACACAUGCAAGUCGAGCGGGCGUAGCAAUACGUCAGCGGCAGACGGGUGAGUAACGCGUGGGAACGUACCUUUGGCUCGGAACAACACAGGGAAACUUGUGCUAAUACCGGAUAAGCCCUUACGGGGAAAGAUUUAUCGCCAAAAGAUCGGCCCGCGUCUGAUUAGCUAGUUGGUGAGGUAACGGCUCACCAAGGCGACGAUCAGUAGCUGGUCUGAGAGGAUGAUCAGCCACAUUGGGACUGAGACACGGCCCAAACUCCUACGGGAGGCAGCAGUGGGGAAUAUUGGACAAUGGGCGCAAGCCUGAUCCAGCCAUGCCGCGUGAGUGAUGAAGGCCCUAGGGUUGUAAAGCUCUUUUGUGCGGGAAGAUAAUGACGGUACCGCAAGAAUAAGCCCCGGCUAACUUCGCGCCAGCAGCCGC